AAUGGGCGAAAGCCUGACGCAGCCAUGCCGCGUGUGUGAAGCAGGCCUUCGGGUUGUAAAGCACUUUCAAUUGGGAGGAAAGGUUCGUAGCUAAUACCUGCGAGCUGUGACGUUACCUUUAGAAGAAGCACCGGCUAACUCCGUGCCAGCAGCCGCGGUAAUACGGAGGGUGCGAGCGUUAAUCGGAAUUACUGGGCGUAAAGCGCGCGUAGGCGGUUUGUUAAGUCGGAUGUGAAAGCCCCGGGCUCAACCUGGGAAUUGCACCCGAUACUGGCCGACUGGAGUGCGAGAGAGGGAGGUAGAAUUCCACGUGUAGCGGUGAAAUGCGUAGAUAUGUGGAGGAAUACCGGUGGCGAAGGCGGCCUCCUGGCUCGACACUGACGCUGAGGUGCGAAAGCGUGGGGAGCAAACAGGAUU
rnacentral:rRNA from 1 species